AUAACCUCAAAGCAUUUUCUGUGCAGUGAGAAGGGCGACAAAGAAGAAGAAGAGACACUCUGAAAAAUCCUCCAUCUCUAUCACCAUACCUUACCUUUCUUCCUUCACCCCCUAAGACUAACCCUAACCCUAACCAUAAUCCUUACCCUAACUUCUUCUAUUCUCAUCUUCACCACCAUCCCUCUUCUACUACCACCACCAACUCAAUCACUUCACCACCGCCACGUCCGCCUCUGCCGCAGCCUCCCGAUCUCCCAACCACUCUCUCAAUACUCAAACACCUCAUCCAUCUCUUCGAAAACCACCCUUCACUCCAUCUUCACUCCCCUCCCCACCACCGUCACUGCCACCACCACUGCCCUCUGCCCCUGUCCUUUCAAUUUCCAGCACUACCUUCCGCCGGAAUCCCUCUUCCGCCACUUCCUCCAAUGCCCUUCUUUCCCUUCCCCCCUUCUCAACUUCGACCCUCUCCUACUCCAAUCACUGCGCUAUCCCAACACUCUCAAACCCUUCCAACAACUCUUUAAUUAGAACCGCUUCCUUCAAACCCUACACAAUCCCAACUCCAACCUUUAUUUCUCCCUCGAUGAAUAUCGCGACUUCAGUCCCAAUUUCUUCUACCGUAAUUACCCAGGCAUAGUUAGCUCUGUCAAUCAAGAUAGUUUGAGUGAAACCUUUACUCUCCCAGGUAUUCUAUCGAUUCAAUGUGCAAAUUUUGUGGGCAGUGUUAAUGGUGAAAUUAAGGGUUUUUCUAGGAAUUGUGUUAGGCUUCUUCCUUCGGAGUUGUGGCUUGUUAGGAGCAAAAUUGAGUCGUGGAGGGAUUAUCAUAUUGCCUAUUGGUAAAGAGUUCUUCGGAGCAUUUUGUGUUCUGUUAUGGCUGAAGAUUGUGAUUUCCUCAGAUGGGUGAUUGUGAAUUCGCCUCGUUAUGAUGUUAUGAUUGAUGUGCCUAUGAUGGACCAUAUAGUUUUGCUUUUUUAGCUUUGUUCGAAUGCAAUUGUGAGGAAAGCUAUUGGUUUGGUGGAUUUAGUAUUGAACAGAGAUGUGAGCGAGUUGAAUCCGGCUGCUGUGAGUUUAAAGUGUCUCAUUUUGGACCUCAAAGUCUAUCAUUGAUGUCUCUUUGCUGGUUGAUGUAUGCGACUGUGGUGCUAUUUUUUUUAAAGCAGUAGGCUCUUGCUGCUUUAAAGAGAGCUUUCCACCGUGUUCAACCCUUCGAUGUUGUCUGCCUCAACGAUGAUGGUUCAGAUUCAUCCCCAGCUUUCUCUCCCAAACAAAGAAAGCUUUCGUAUACCACUGUAAAGCUCUCUACUUUUUUGCAAAUUUUAUUGAAUUUGAAUGAUUUAGCAACUUAGAAUGUGGGUCUUUGUUUGAAAUUGAUUUGAGUAUUGGUAUUAAUUUGAAUUUAGGUUGAGAAGGUAGAUAAGAAUGAGAAAUUCAUAGAGGUUGUUGAUUGUGAAAAUAAGGAAGAGGCUGAUUGGCUACCUUGACCUCCUAAAGUUUCAACUUAUACACUAAAACUCGGUAAGGAUUCAACUAUAAAGGAGUUGAGAAGAAAAAAACUUCAAAAGAUGCGAUCGUUUCUCAGGGCAACAAAUCCCUCUUGAAGCAUGGUUCUGGUGAUAUUCAGGUAGAAGAGAAAAGUUUCAUGCAAGUAAAGAGAGGAAUGCUUUCACAGAAACCAUGUCCCUAACGAGGAAUCAGAAAAACUAUUUCUGAAACAGAAGAUGAUAUUUGAACUACAGAACAGAGAUAUUAUAGAGCUGAAACAAACUCUUCACACUACAAAAGCUGUUGCUUGGCUGUUCAUGUCCAAGGAAAGGACUUGAUAUCUGGAACUAUUCUUCAUGGCUGUAUGCAUUUAGUUGAUCUGGCAGGAAGCGAGAGGGUAGACAAAUAUAAAGUUGCAGAAGACAGACUAAAAGUGGCGCAACAUAUAAACAAAUCUCUUUCUGCUUUGGGUGAUGGGGUCUCUUCCCUUGCUCAGAAGAAUUCACACGUCCCUUACAAGAACAACAAACUCACACAAUCACUCCAAGACUCACUUGGGGGCCAGGCCAAGACAUUAAUGUUUGUUCACAUAAGCCCCGAGCUCGAUGCUGUUGGAGAAACAAUAAGUAACCUCAAAUUUGCCGAGCGUGUUGCCACCAUUGAACUUGGUGUUGCUCGUGUAAACAAAGAUAGCGCAGAUGUUAAAGAGCUCAAAGAGCAGCAGCCUUGGCAAGGAAAGAAGAGCCAGUUGAGCCUUUGCAACAGCAGAAAGUGUCUAGUAGCCAAGGUUUUAAAAAGCGGCCGCAACCGUUACGUAACGCCGUUACGUAACGGUUUUGGCAUUUACCACCACCCGUUAUGGCCGCUUUUGCAGUGUGAUUGAGAAUCACAGGUGUGUCGGCCGUAGCGGCUGCCAUAGCGGUCGUAACGGUGUCGUAAUGGCCUGUUACGCACCGUUACGUAACGGUUUCAAACUGUUUCUUUCGA